AUUGAACGCUGGCGGCAGGCCUAACACAUGCAAGUCGAACGAGUGGCGGACGGGUGAGUAAUGUCUGGGAAACUGCCUGAUGGAGGGGGAUAACUACUGGAAACGGUAGCUAAUACCGCAUACCAUCGGAUGUGCCCAGAUGGGAUUAGCUAGUAGGUGGGGUAACGGCUAACCUAGGCGACGAUCCCUAGCUGGUCUGAGAGGAUGACCAGCCACACGGGAACUGAGACACGGUCCAGACUCCGACGGUAGGCAGCAGUGGGGAAUAUUGCACAAUGGGCGCAAGCCUGAUGCAGCCAUGCCGCGUGUAUGAAGAAGGCCUUCGGGUUGUAAAGUACUUUCAGCGAGGAGGCGUUACUCGCAGAAGAAGCACCGGCUAACUCCGUGCCAGCAGCCGCGGUAAUUC
rnacentral:rRNA from 1 species